rnacentral:rRNA from 1 species
UACGUAGGGACCGAGCGUUGUCCGGAAUCAUUGGGCGUAAAGGGCGCGUAGGCGGUUCGUUAAGUCCUGUGUGAAAUCCCCCGGCUCAACUGGGGAACUGCACAGGAAACUAGCGGGCUUGAGUUCGGGAGAGGGAAGCGGAAUUCCGGGUGUAGCGGUGAAAUGCGUAGAUAUCUGGAGGAACACCGGUGGCGAAGGCGGCAUCCUGGACCGGUAUUGACGCUGAGGCGCGAAAGCCAGGGGAGCAAACGGG